rnacentral:tRNA from 1 species
ACUUAAAUAGCUUAUUUAGAGCAUAAUAUUGAAGAUAUUAAGGAAAUUUAGAUAUUUUUAAGUA